GCCCGGCUGGCUCAGUCGUGGAGCGUGCGACUCUUGAUCUCAGGGUUGUGAGUUCGACCCCCACGCUGGGUG
rnacentral:tRNA from 1 species